rnacentral:misc_RNA from 1 species
UAAAAUCGGGAAUUCAUAAAAAUAUAAAAGUGAAUAUUUUACCAAACUAAUGCAAAAAAUAUAAGUAAUGUUUUUAUUUUUUUUUCGUUUUUUAAUCUAACAAUGCAUUAAACGAUCUCACCAGCGACUCAUCGGGUUUAUUUCAACGGAAAUCAGAAGAUUUCAAAACCCUAACCCUCAUUUUCUUGUGUAGAAACGAGAGAAUUCAAGAUGGGUUCUG